rnacentral:tRNA from 2 species
GUGGUCGUAGCUCAGCUGGUAGAGCACCGGGUUGUGGUCCCGGGGGCCGCGGGUUCAAGUCCCGUCGAUCACCCCA